UGGGGAAUAUUGCACAAUGGGCGAAAGCCUGAUGCAGCGACGCCGCGUGAGGGAUGACGGCCUUCGGGUUGUAAACCUCUUUCAGCAGGGACGAAGCGCAAGUGACGGUACCUGCAGAAGAAGCACCGGCUAACUACGUGCCAGCAGCCGCGGUAAUACGUAGGGUGCAAGCGUUGUCCGGAAUUACUGGGCGUAAAGAGUUCGAAGGCGGUUUGUCGCGUCGUUUGUGAAAACCAGCAGCUCAACUGCUGGCUUGCAGGCGAUACGGGCAGACUUGAGUACUGCAGGGGAGACUGGAAUUCCUGGUGUAGCGGUGAAAUGCGCAGAUAUCAGGAGGAACACCGGUGGCGAAGGCGGGUCUCUGGGCAGUAACUGACGCUGAGGAACGAAAGCGUGGGUAGCGAACAGG
rnacentral:rRNA from 1 species